AUUUUCCUACGGGAGGCAGCAGUGGGGAAUAUUGCACAAUGGGGGAAACCCUGAUGCGGCGACGCCGCGUGAGUGAAGAAGUAUUUCGGUAUGUAAAGCUCUAUCAGCAGGGAAGAUAAUGACGGUACCUGACUAAGAAGCCCCGGCUAACUACGUGCCAGCAGCCGCGGUAAUACGUAGGGGGCAAGCGUUAUCCGGAUUUACUGGGUGUAAAGGGAGCGUAGACGGCAGCGCAAGUCUGGAGUGAAAUGCCGGGGCUCAACCCCGGAACUGCUUUGGAAACUGUGCAGCUAGCGUGCGGGAGG
rnacentral:rRNA from 1 species